UCUAUUAUCUGGAGAUAACAUUGAAUGUUAACUCCAUGACAAAGUUUUCAUGUUAUGAAGAGAACUAGAACUGUGAGCUACUCUAAUAAAUAGGUUAAACUCAUGACUUUUUAGUGAAUGAUUCAAAAUUAUAAUAUUAGUAAACGGGUCCCACAUAUCAAAGUUAAUUUACGGUGACACGGAGAUUUAAUGAAGCACUAUGUUUAAUAUAUGAAAGUUUCAUAUCCAUUUGUUAGUGAAAUAGUUUAUAGUUUGUAGGAGACUAAGCUGCAUACAUGCUUUCUCCAAGGUUGAUGUGGCAACUUCAACCUAAAUUAUCUUUGGAGGUUUGUCAAUUUAUUCAUAAAUUUUCUAUCUUGAAAGUUUAUAUUUAUAUUUAAAUUAUAAUAUAUAUGUUUGCUCGAUCUAUGAAAUGGUUCCAACUCCACGGAAUUUGGAGGGCAACAAGAUAUUGAUGGUUUCUUAGCUGGUGGACCUUCUUUCAAGGAUAAUAACCAGAGCAUGCAACAAUAUAAGGUUAGGAAAAAAGGAACCACAAGGGGAAGAGGUGGGGAACAUUGUUGCUAACAAGGGAAGGAAAUUAGAUAUCGACGACGAUGAUGUGCUGAUGAGAAUAAACACAUCUCAACCAAGAACCUGAGGAGAUUGAUGACGGAAGAAAGAUGUGCGUGAAAUGGUGAUUGACUUUCUUUCAAGAUUUAUGAGUUUCGAGUGGAUUUUGGCGGUAAAAUCUAGAGGUGGGAAAUAAUUUUGCUUUCAAAAUUUUCAAAUGAGUAAACUGUCAAAAUGGUGCCUAAGGUUUGGUUAUUUUUUUCAUUUUAGUCUAAAACUCAAAUCUUUUGAAUAUAGGUCCAUGUGGUUUUGAAUUUUGUUGCUAUUUUUCAUCCAAAAUCAAAAUCUGGUCAGAUUUUUCAGUUAUUAUCCAGUUUUUGUCUUUUUCCUCCGUUUUAAUGAAUGGCAAAAUGAUCUUUUAACGUUUUAUUAUAACAAAUUAAAAAAUCUGACCCUUCACUGGAAAUGUGUCAAAAGUUCCAACUAAUUUCUGACAA